CCCGAGCUCAGAAGUGCCAGGCGCUGCCAGCGGCUUCGGAGAUCCUCGCGUGGGAGUCCCCGGGGCGAUGCGGAACGCUCCCGCAAGAGCGGCGCCGGAACUUGGGCGGGGAGGAAGGCGAGCUUUCGCAGACAGGGCCGGUGGAUGCGACCAUCUUGGAAGCCACGUUAAAGAAGGCAGAGCCAUAAGAUAGAUGCAGCCGGGUUCUCUAAAUCACCACUGGGGAGAAACCCACACACCAAUGAGGAAUACUCAUUUUUUGGAUUUUAAGAGCAAGAAAUAAACUUCGAUUUUGUUCAGCA